rnacentral:rRNA from 1 species
AGUCGUAACAAGGUCUCCGUAGGUGAACCUGCGGAGGGAUCAUUACACAAAUAUGAAGGCGGGCUGGAACCUCUCGGGGUUACAGCCUUGCUGAAUUAUUCACCCUUGUCUUUUGCGUACUUCUUGUUUCCUUGGUGGGUUCGCCCACCACUAGGACAAUCAUAAACCUUUUGUAAUUGCAAUCAGCGUCAGUAACAAAUUAAUAAUUACAACUUUCAACAACGGAUCUCUUGGUUCUGGCAUCGAUGAAGAACGCAGCGAAAUGCGAUAAGUAGUGUGAAUUGCAGAAUUCAGUGAAUCAUCGAAUCUUUGCACGCACAUUGCGCCCUUUGGUAUUCCAAAGGGCAUGCCUGUUCGAGCGUCAUUUGUACCCUCAAGCUUUGCUUGGUGUUGGGCGUCUUGUCUCUAGCUUUGCUGGAGACUCGCCUUAAAGUAAUUGGCAGCCGGCCUACUGGUUUCGGAGCGCAGCACAAGUCGCACUCUCUAUCAGCAAAGGUCUAGCAUCCAUUAAGCCUUUUUUUUCAACUUUUGACCUCGGAUCAGGUAGGGAUACCCGCUGAACUUAAGCAUAUCAAUGUAAAAGUCG